GGGGCCAUAGCUCAGCUGGGAGAGCGCGUGGCUGGCAGCCACGAGGUCGGGGGUUCGAGCCCCCCUGGCUCCA
rnacentral:tRNA from 1 species